rnacentral:rRNA from 1 species
UAAGCCAUAAACAUUGAUAAGCCAUCAUACAAUGCUUUCCGCCAGAGAACUACAAGUGAAAAACUUGAAACUCAAAGGACUUGGCGGUGUCCCAUAUCGACCUAGAGGAGCCUGUCCUAUAAUCGAUACCCCUCGCUCCACCCAACCUCCACUAGCACAUCAGCCUAUAUACCGCCGUCGACAGUCUACCCCAUGAGGGUCUAAUAGUAAACAAAAAAGCUUGCUCGCUAAUACGUCAGGUCAAGGUGUAGCUAAUGUUGAGGAAGAGAUUGGCUACAUUUUUUAUUAUAAAAAAUACGGAAUGUAAUAUGAAACCCUACAUGAAGGUGAAUUUAGUAGUAAAAUAGAUAAGAGUGUCU